GGGAUCAUCUGUAAACUUCAGGCACAAACAAGGCUACUUAAGGGUCUAGAUCAGGGGUCUACAAACUACAACCCUUGGGCCUAAUCUAUCCAUCCAUCUGUUUUUAUAAAUAAAGUUUUAUUGGAACACAAACACGCACAUUUGUUACAUACUGUCUAUAGCUGCUUCUGCUACAACUGCAGAGUUGAGUAGCUGCAAUUAAGACUGUAUAACCCACAAAGCCAGAAAUAUUUGCUAUCUGGGCCUUGACAGGAAAAGUUUACCAAUCCCUGGAAUAAAUGAAAAGUGUUUCUUACCACUCUGGGAGGAAACCAGGAUGGCUCUGAGGCAUCUAAAGCAGAGUGUUAGGCAUGGGCAGUAUCCUUCUCAAAAGAGGGCAUAUUGGUCCCUUUCCAGCAUCCUCAGGCUGGGCUCAGGGGCCCCAGCAUCACAGCCUGAGCAGGAGAGCCUCAACAGGGAGAUUCUGGGUAGGGACUGCUGGUGCAGGUACACUACUGCCCUUGGAAGGACCUGGGAGCACUUAGGGUGUUUCUGGGACUAUGAAGAUGAGGGCUGUUGAGCCAGGGUUUGGUAGCCUCUCCAGGGAGAAGGCAAGAGUUAAAGAAUAGG
rnacentral:lncRNA from 1 species